GCCCAGGAUGGACGGGCCGGUGUUCGCGCUGGCUUCCGGCGCCGGUGGAACGGUCUACGCCGGCGGCGCGUUCACCCGCGGCCUGGUCC
rnacentral:tRNA from 1 species